rnacentral:rRNA from 1 species
GAUGAACGCUGGCGGCGUGCCUAAUACAUGCAAGUCGAGCGAACGGACGAGAAGCUUGCUUUUCUGAUGUUAGCGGCGGACGGGUGAGUAACACGUGGAUAACCUACCUAUAAGACUGGGAUAACUUCGGGAAACCGGAGCUAAUACCGGAUAAUAUUUUGAACCGCAUGGUUCAAAAGUGAAAGACGGUCUUGCUGUCACUUAUAGAUGGAUCCGCGCUGCAUUAGCUAGUUGGUAAGGUAACGGCUUACCAAGGCAACGAUGCAUAGCCGACCUGAGAGGGUGAUCGGCCACACUGGAACUGAGACACGGUCCAGACUCCUACGGGAGGCAGCAGUAGGGAAUCUUCCGCAAUGGGCGAAAGCCUGACGGAGCAACGCCGCGUGAGUGAUGAAGGUCUUCGGAUCGUAAAACUCUGCUAUUAGGGAAGAACAUAUGUGUAAGUAACUGUGCACAUCUUGACGGUACCUAAUCGGAAAGCCACGGCUAACUACGUG